UGCCAGCAGCCGCGGUAAUACGUAGGUGGCAAGCGUUGUCCGGAAUCAUUGGGCGUAAAGGGCGCGUAGGCGGGUUUUUAAGUCAGGUGUGAAAUAUGCGGGCUCAACCCGGAGUGUGCAUCUGAUACUGGAGAUCUUGAGUGCAGGAGAGGACAGUGGAAUUCCUAGUGUAGCGGUGAAAUGCGUAGAUAUUAGGAGGAACACCAGUGGCGAAGGCGGCUGUCUGGACUGUAACUGACGCUGAGGCGCGAAAGCGUGGGGAGCAAACAGGAUUAGAUACCCUGGUAGUCCACGCCGUAAACGAUGGGUACUAGGUGUAGGAGGUAUCGACCCCUUCUGUGCCGGAGCUAACGCAAUAAGUACCCCGCCUGGGGAGUACGGCCGCAAGGUUGAAACUUAAAGGAAUUGGCGGGGGAC
rnacentral:rRNA from 1 species